CAUCAUGUAGCGCCAGCCACACCAGGAACAGAAGGGUGCCGGGUACCUUCCGCAUGCUUGGUAUUCUCCCCGCGGGGCUCUGACCGCUGCCGCUCUCAGGCACCUGUCUUUCCUCUCCGUCCCAGAAUGGAGCCAAGACAAGGGAAUAAACGAAAUUCAAUAGUACACGGAGAUCGGGUGUCUGGGCAGCGUCUUGGAAAAACUAUCCACUACAGCAAUCAACAACACAGAAGACAACUUCUGCAACCCUAUCGGGAGAGGAGGGGUUCUCUCCACCACCAGUCCCCUGGAAGAAUUCUCAAAACACAGAAUGCUUGCCAAGUCAAUCCUAAGCCAAAAGAACAAAGCUGGAGGCAUCACACUACCUGACUUCAAACUAUACUACAAGGAUGCAGUAACCAAAACAGCAUGGUACUGGUACCAAAACAGAGAUAUAGACCAAUGGAACAGAACAGAGCCCUCAGAAAUAAUGCCGCUUAUCUACAACCAUCUGAUCUUUGACAAACCUGACAAAAACAAGAAAUGGGGAAAGGAUUCCCUAUUUAAUAAAUGGUGCUGGGAAAACUGGCUAGCCAUAUGCAGAAAGCUGAAACUGGAUCCCUUCCUUACACCUUAUGCUAAAAUUAAUUCAAGAUGGAUUAAAGACUUAAAUGUUAGACCUAAAACCAUAAAAACCGUAGAAUAAAACCUAGGCAAUACCAUUCAGGACAUAGGCAUGGGCAAGGACUUCAUGUUUAAAACACCAAAAGCCAUGGCAACAGAAGCCAAAAUUGACAAAUAGGAUCUAAUUAAACUAAAGAGCUUCUGCACAGCAAAAGAAACUACCAUCAGAGUGAACAGGCAACCUACAGAAUGGGAGAAAAUUUUUGCAAUCUACUCAUCUGACAAAGGGCUAGUAUCCAGAAUCUACAAUGAACUCAAACAAAUUUACAAGAAAAAAACAACCCCAUCAAAAAGUGGGCAAACGAUAUGAACAGACACUUCUCAAAAGACGACAUUUAUGCUGCCAAAAGACACAUGAAAAAAUGCUCAUCAUCACUGGCCAUCAGAGAAAUGCAAAUCAAAACCACAAUGAGAUACCAUCUCACACCAGUUAGAAUGGCGAUCAUUAAAAAGUCAGGAAACAACAGGUGCUGGAGAGGAUGUGGAGAAACAGGAACACUUUUACACUGUUAGUGGGACUGUAAACUAGUUCAACCAUUGUGGAAGUCAGUGUGGCGAUUCCUCAGGGAUCUAGAACUAGAAAUACCAUUUGACCCAGCCAUCCCAUUACUGGGUAUAUACCCAAAGGAUUAUAAAUCAUGCUGCUAUAAAGACACAUGCACACGUAUGUUUAUUGUGGCACUAUUCACAAUAGCAAAGACUUGGAACCAACCCAAAUGUCCAAUAAUGAUAGACUGGAUUAAGAAAAUGUGGCACAUAUACACCAUGGAAUACUAUUCAGCCAUAAAAAAGGAUGAGUUCAUGUCCUUUGUAGGGACAUGGAUGAAGCCGGAAACCAUCAUUCUCAGCAAACUAUCGCAAGGACAAAA
rnacentral:lncRNA from 1 species